AGUGGCGCACGGGUGAGUAACACGUAGCUAACCUGCCCUCGAGUGGGGGAUAACCUGGGGAAACCUGGGCUAAUACCGCAUGAUAUCCCCGCAGGCAAAGGCCCGCUGGAGGAGGGGGCUGCGGCCGAUUAGCUAGUUGGUGAGGUAACGGCUCACCAAGGCGAUGAUCGGUAGCCGGCCUGAGAGGGCGCACGGCCACACUGGCACUGAAACACGGGCCAGACUCCUACGGGAGGCAGCAGUGGGGAAUUUUGCACAAUGCCCGAAAGGGUGAUGCAGCAACGCCGCGUGAGGGAUGAAGGCCUUCGGGUCGUAAACCUCUUUCGAUCGGGAAAAAUGAUGGUACCGGAUGAAGAAGCCCCGGCUAACUACGUGCCAGCAGCCGCGGUAAUACGUAGGGGGCGAGCGUUGUUCGGAAUUACUGGGCGUAAAGGGCGUGUAGGCGGUGCGGUAAGUUGGGCGUGAAAUCCCCGAGCUUAACUCGGGUGGGCCGUUCAAGAC
rnacentral:rRNA from 1 species